UUUCACGUGUAGGGGUAAAAUCCGUAGAGAUGUGAAGGAACACCAGAGGCGAAGGCGCCUUCCUGGACAAGUAUUGACGCUGAGGCGCGAAAGCGUGGGUAGCAAACAGGAUUAGAUACCCUGGUAGUCCACGCCGUAAACGAUGUGCACUAGAUUUUGGUGGUUUGACCCCAUCAGAGUCGUAGCUAACGCAUUAAGUGCACCGCCUGGGGAGUACGGUCGCAAGACUAAAACUCAAAGGAAUUGACGGGGGCCCGCACAAGCGGUGGAUUAUGUGGUUUAAUUCGAAGCAACGCGCAGAGCCUUACCUAGGCUUGAAAUCCUGAGAAUCUAAUGGAAACAUAAGAGUGCUCUUCGGAGAAUUCAGUGACAGGCGCUGCAUGGCUGUCGUCAGCUCGUGUCGUGAGAUGUUGGGUUAAGUCUCGCAACGAGCGCAACCCCUAUCCUUAGUUGCCAGCAUUAAGUUGGGCACUCUAGGGAGACUGCCCGGGCUAACCGGGAGGAAGGUGGGGAUGACGUCAAGUCCUCAUGGCCCUUAUGUCUAGGGCUACACACGUAAUACAAUGGUGCAUACAAAGGGAAGCGACCUGGCAACAGUGAGCAAAUCUCAAAAAGUGCAUCUCAGUCCGGAUUGAAGUCUGCAACUCGACUUCAUGAAGUUGGAAUCGCUAGUAAUCGGAGAUCAGCACGCUCCGGUGAAUACGUUCCCGGGCCUUGUACACACCGCCCGUCACACCACGGGAGUUGGUCUUACCUGAAGCCGUGGC
rnacentral:rRNA from 1 species